rnacentral:ncRNA from 1 species
GACCGGAUAAGGCAUUAUCGCCUUCUCCGGCAAUUGAAGCCUGAUGCGACGCUGACGCGUCUUAUCAGGCC